AAGGUAUUGGGGAAGGAACAGUUAAUAAGAAAAUGUGCCUUGCUAACUGUGCACAUUACAACAAAGAGCUGGCAGCUCCUGAAGGAAAAGCGUUUGUGCCGCUGCCGUUCAAACUUGUCAGUCAACUCGUGCCAGCAGCCUCAGUGUCUGCCUCCCCAGCACACCCUCAUUACAUGUGUCUGUCUGGCCUGAUCUGUACAUCUGCUCAGAGACGCUCCGCUCCUGGCAAGUGGAGUCGAGUCGGGGGUUUCUGCAUUUCUCACUAGUGCCAAGAGCAGCUUUCUCUAUCUGCCUGUUCGCUGUCACCCCCGCUCUCUCCCCAAGGAGGCUCGGGCUUUUAUGAUAGCUUUGGACUUCUUACACUGUCUGCCUGUCCUUGACUUCUAGAAUGGAAGAAGCCGAGCUGGUGAAGGAAAGACUUCAGGCCAUCACAGAUAAAAGAAAAAUACAGGAAGAAAUCUCAGAGAAACGUUUGAAAAUAGAGGAAGAAAAACUAAAGCAUCAGCAUUUGAAGAAAAAGGCCUUGAGGGAGAAAUGGCUUCUAGAUGGAAUCAGCAGCAGUGGAAAAGAACAGGAAGAGAUGAAGAAGCAAAAUCAACAAGACCACCACCAGAUUCAGCUUCUAGAACAAAGUAUCCUCAGACUUGAGAAAGAAAUCCACAAUCUUGAAAAGACUGAACUGCAAAUCUCAACCAAUGAAGAGGCAAUUUUAAAGAAAUUGAAAUCAGUUGAGAGGACAACAGAAGACAUAAUAAGGUCUGUGAAGGUAGAAAAGGAAGAACCAUUAGAAGAGUCAAUUGAAGACAUCUAUGCUAAUAUCCCUGACCUUCCAAAGUCCUACAUCCCCUCCAGGUUAAGGAAGGAAAGAAAUGAAGGGAUAGAAGAUGAUGAGCAAAACAGAAAAGCUUUGUAUGCCAUGGAAAUUAAAGUUGAAAAAGACUUGAAGACUGGAGAAAGUACAGUCCUGUCUUCAAUCCCUCUCCCAUCCGAUGACUUUAAAGGUACAGGCAUCAAGGUGUAUGAUGAUGGGCGAAAGUCCGUAUAUGCAGUGAGUUCCAAUCAGAGAACAGCACACAACGGCUCUGAUGGCCUGGCCACAGUUGAGGUUGAGGAACUUCUACGACAAGCUUCGGAGAGAAACUCUCAGUCCCCAACGGAGUAUCAUGAGCCUGUGUAUGCCAAUCCCUUUUACAGGCCAACAACGCCCCAGAGAGACAAAUUAUCCCCUGGACCAAACUUUCAAGAAAGGAUGAAGAUGAAAGCUAAUGGACUAGGAAAUGAUGUAAAUGAAUCUGUACACAGCAUGGACAAUGGACUUUCAGAAGAGGGCGGCACCGGCUUCAACCAUAUCGGGGCAGGUCAGCCGAUUCCUCGUCCCCGAUCGAUGACUCACCAAACAGAGGAUACACCCUACACCCUCCAGAAGGGGACGACAACACCUUGGGAAGAACCAAAUGUGAUGCAAGGCAGGUAUUCACCUUCUCCAAAGGCAAGACAGAAUCUCAGUGAAGCCGUAGUUGGGAAAUCAGAACCCCAAGGUGCUUCUCCUACCGCCCAGGAGGAAGGAGAUGUUAGAUACAAUAUUGUUCAUUCCCUGCCCUCUGACAUGAAAGACACAGAACCUGUGACGAUGAUCUUCAUGGGGUAUCAGCAGGCAGAAGACAAUGAAGAAGAAAGGAAGCUUCUGACAGGAUAUGAUGGAGUCAUCCAUGCUGAGCUGGUGGUGAUUGAUGAUGAAGAGGAGGAAGGUGAAGGAGAAGAUGAAGAACCCUCCUACCACCCUAUAGCUCCCUAUAGUCAGGUUUACCAGCCUGUCAAACCAACACCACUUCCCAGGAAGAGAUCAGAAGUUAAACCCCAUGAAAACACAAACCACAGAUCGCCACACAAAAAUUCCAUAUCCCUAAAAGAACAAGAAGAAAACUUAGGCAGCACUAUCCAGAAUUCUCCACUUGAAGUUCAGCUAGCUGGGGAUGGAACUGAGGACCCAACCUUAACAGAAAUAGGUUCCUUCUAGUUCUGAACCUGCUUCUGUCCCAAGUUAACCAUAGCUUAUUAUUUCUACUAUCUUUUUGUGCUACUAAAACAAUGCUCACAUUGUUGGAUAAAAUCAUCUGAGCUUUAAGGAUGAGAAUGGCAAAGUUGGGGAAAAAAGUUAUCUGAGAAACAGACCAUCUAUGUACCAUCCUUUGGAGAAGAAACUAAAAAACUGUGCAAAUUUCUUUUCUGGAUAUUUUGCUUCCUUUUUCUGACAGCCAAAAAAAAAAUUAAUUGUACCCACACUAAGUCAUGUGAAUAAACAGUAGUCAAUAUUUGUGAAAAUUUCAAAAAAAAAAAAAAAACAGGG